AACGAACGCUGGCGGCAGGCUUAACACAUGCAAGUCGUACGCACCGCAAGGUGAGUGGCAGACGGGUGAGUAACACGUGGGGAUCUGCCCAAUGGUACGGAAUAGCUCCGGGAAACUGGAUUUAAUACCGUAUGUGCCCGCCAGGGGAAAGAUUUAUCGCCAUUGGAUGAACCCGCGUCGGAUUAGCUAGUUGGUGGGGUAAAGGCCCAACAAGGCGACGAUCCGUAGCUGGUCUGAGAGGAUGAUCAGCCACACUGGGACUGAGACACGGCCCAGACUCCGACGGGAGGCAGCAGUGGGGAAUAUUGGACAAUGGGCGCAAGCCUGAUCCAGCCAUGCCGCGUGAGUGAUGAAGGCCUUAGGGUUGUAAAGCUCUUUCGCCGACGAAGAUAAUGACGGUAGUCGGAGAAGAAGCCCCGGCUAACUUCGUGCCAGCAGCCGCCGUAAAAC
rnacentral:rRNA from 1 species